GCCGAAAUAGCUCAGUUGGGAGAGCGUCAGACUGAAGAUCUGAAGGUCCCUGGUUCAAUCCCGAGUUCCGGCA
rnacentral:tRNA from 1 species